rnacentral:rRNA from 2 species
UUUCCUACGGGGGGCAGCAGUCGGGAAUCUUGCACAAUGAGCGAAAGCUUGAUGCAGCGACGCCGCGUGAGCGAUGAAGGCCUUCGGGUUGUAAAGCUCUGUCUUCGUGGACGAAAGCCUUGAUGCAAAUAGUGUCGAGGGUUGACGGUACUCGAGGAGGAAGCCCCGGCUAACUACGUGCCAGCAGCCGCGGUAACACGUAGGGGGCGAGCGUUGUCCGGAAUUACUGGGCGUAAAGGGCGCGCAGGCGGCAAGUUAAGUCGAGUGUGAAAUCGCGCAGCUCAACUGCGCAACUGCGCUCGAAACUGGUUUGCUUGAGGACAGGAGAGGGAAGUGGAAUUUCCGGUGUAGCGGUGAAAUGCGUAGAUAUCGGAAGGAACACCAGUGGCGAAGGCGACUUCCUGGACUGCACCUGACGCUGAGGCGCGAAAGCUAGGGGAGCAAACGGGAUUAGAUACCCCGGUAGUCG